rnacentral:rRNA from 1 species
GGGCCCGCACAAGCGGUGGAGUAUGUGGUUUAAUUCGAUGCAACGCGAAGAACCUUACCAGGGUUUGACAUCCUGCGAAUCUCUUGGAAACAGGAGAGUGCCUUCGGGAACGCAGUGACAGGUGGUGCAUGGCUGUCGUCAGCUCGUGUCGUGAGAUGUUGGGUUAAGUCCCCGCAACGAGCGCAACCCACGUCUUUAGUUGCCAGCAUUUUAGUUGGGCACUCUAGAGAGACUGCCGGUGAUAAACCGGAGAAGGUGUGGAUGACGUCAAGUCAUCAUGCCCAUUACAUCUGGGCUACACACGUACUACAAUGCUACGGACAAAGGGCAGCAAGUUCGCAGAGGACAAGCAAAUCCCAUAAACGUGGCUC